rnacentral:rRNA from 1 species
AAUAGAUACCCAGGUAGUCCACGCCCUAAACGAUGUCUACUAGUUGUCGGGGGGUAACUCCUUCGGUAACGCAGCUAACGCGUGAAGUAGACCGCCUGGGGAGUACGGUCGCAAGAUUAAAACUCAAAGGAAUUGACGGGGACCCGCACAAGCGGUGGAUGAUGUGGACUAAUUCGAUGCAACGCGAAAAACCUUACCUACCCUUGACAUGCCACUAACGAAGCAGAGAUGCAUUAGGUGCCCGAAAGGGAAAGUGGACACAGGUGCUGCAUGGCUGUCGUCAGCUCGUGUCGUGAGAUGUUGGGUUAAGUCCCGCAACGAGCGCAACCCUUGCCAAUAGUUGCUACGAAAGGGCACUCUAUUGGGACUGCCGGUGACAAACCGGAGGAAGGUGGGGAUGACGUCAAGUCCUCAUGGCCCUUAUGGGUAGGGCUUCACACGUCAUACAAUGGCUGGUACAGAGGGUUGCCAACCCGCGAGGGGGAGCCAAUCCCACAAAACCAGUCGUAGUCCGGAUUGCAGUCUGCAACUCGA